rnacentral:rRNA from 1 species
GUGUACGCUGGCGGUAGGCCUAACACCUGCAAGUCGAACGGCAGCACAGUAAGAGCUUGCUCUUACGGGUGGCGAGUGGCGGACGGGUGAGGAAUACAUCGGAAUCUACUUUUUCGUGGGGGAUAACGUAGGGAAACUUACGCUAAUACCGCAUACGACCUACGGGUGAAAGCAGGGGAUCUUCGGACCUUGCGCGAUUGAAUGAGCCGAUGUCGGAUUAGCUAGUUGGCGGGGUAAAGGCCCACCAAGACGACGAUCCGUAGCUGGUCUGAGAGGAUGAUCAGCAACACUAGCACUGAGACACGGUCCAGACUCCUACGGGACGCAGCAGUGGGGAAUAUUGGACGAUGGGCGCAAGCCUGGUCCAGCCAUACCGCGUGGGUGAAGAAGGCCUUCGGGUUGUAAAGCCCUUUUGUUGGGAAAGAAAAGCAGCAGGUUAAUACCCCGCUGUUCUGACGGUACCCAAAGAAUAAGCACCGGCUAACUUCGUG